rnacentral:lncRNA from 1 species
GUUUUCAAUCCUGUUCCUCGGGACCCACUGCUCUGCGCAUUUUGCAUGUGUCCCUCAUCUGACACACUCAUUUGAGUUCAUGGAGCUCUUUCCUAAUGAUCUGAAUCAGCUGUGUAAAUUAGGGAGGCAUGCAAAAUGUGAAGAGAAGUUUGAAAACCACUGCAUUAGAGAGCGUGCAUUUGGGAGCGUUAGGAAAAUGUUCUGUGCUUGCAGUGGUGAAAUUGUUUUUAUUUGAUUUGAUCUUUUGCGCGUAGUGGCGGACGCGUAGAGGCGUUACCAAGGAAGUGACGAGCGCUUCUUCCGGGUCGAAAGGAAAGCUUUCCCGCGUGUGGCAAAUGAAUGGUGAAGGAAAACCCAAUGAAAAUAACCUCUAGGAUGCAAAAAGCAGGAAGAAGUUGAGGUUUUUGAGAAGUUGGUUGACUAAAAGUUGGCAUGGCAGUUGACGGGGCAACUAAAGAGAAGAAGAAGAAGAAGAAGAAAGUUCAGGAUGCAGGAGACACACGUGUGAUGGUGUGGCGUGACGUGUCCGUCCAGACUGAUGUUAAAAACGAAACUUUGGAUGUAAACAUCAGAGAUGGAGAGAAACGGGAGAGCAAUGGGGCUGAGAAGAAGAGGAAGAAGAAAAAGAAAGUGAAGGAGGACGUGGAAGCAAACAGUCCCGUGUGUUACGAUGCGUCCGUCCAGACUUCCGUCAAAACAGAGCGCUCCGAUAUAAACAUCAGUGCUGCUCCUAAGAAGACGAAGAAGAAGAUAGAGCAGGAAGCAGAAGAGAUCGCCAGUGGAGAUCAUUUAGUGUCCAAGAAACAAGGACGUGAAGAAGAGGUGGAAGCUAUAAAGAAGAAAAAGAAGAAAAAGCAAGUAGAGAUGAAAAAAGAAGAGGCCGAUUUAGGACACAGUGUAGAGAUAGUAAAAAAGAAAAAGAAGAGAAAAAUUGAUGAAGAUGUGGCCGAAGAAGAACAAAACAAAGAAUUUGAGGGGGGAGAGGUAAAGAAGAAAAGAAAAAAGCAGAAAGAUUGUAAACAGGAAGCGGUGAAGAAGAAGAAGAGGAAGAAAUCUUCAGCAGUUGAAGAGCCUGAUGACAUUAGCUCCAGUGAAAAGCUGGAGAAGAAGAGCAAGAAGCUAAAGAAGAAACUGAAAGGUGUGGAUGAAGGUGAGAGUCAUCCUUGCGCCAACGGAGGACAGGUGAGCUCAGCGGACAAGAAGAUGAGAAAGAAAGUCAAAGCUAAGACUGAGACUGAGGAGGAAGCGGUGGGAAAGAAGGGCAGAAAGAAAACCCCAGAAAAGGUUAGAAAGAAAAAGCCUAAAGAAGAGCAUCUUGAGGCAGUCGUGGAGAGAGCAAGUAAAGCGUCUGAUGUUGUGUUCCUGUCGGAAAAGCCUGGAAAUCAGGACAAAGUUUCUAUAGAUCAGGUACAACACCUGCUGAUCACUGAUGUUUUACACACACACACACACACACACAUACAUAUAUAUAUAUAUAUGUCAUGUUGA